UACGUAGGUGGCAAGCGUUGUCCGGAAUUAUUGGGCGUAAAGCGCGCGCAGGUGGUUCUUUAAGUCUGAUGUGAAAGCCCACGGCUCAACCGUGGAGGGUCAUUGGAAACUGGGGAACUUGAGUGCAGAAGAGGAAAGUGGAAUUCCAAGUGUAGCGGUGAAAUGCGUAGAGAUUUGGAGGAACACCAGUGGCGAAGGCGACUUUCUGGUCUGUAACUGACACUGAGGCGCGAAAGCGCUGGGGAGCAAACAGG
rnacentral:rRNA from 1 species